rnacentral:rRNA from 1 species
UGAGUAACCUGCCCUUGACUCUGGGAUAAGCCUGGGAAACCGGGUCUAAUACUGGAUACGACCUUCUGGCGCAUGCCAUGUUGGUGGAAAGCUUUUGUGGUUUUGGAUGGACUCGCGGCCUAUCAGCUUGUUGGUGGGGUAAUGGCCUACCAAGGCGACGACGGGUAGCCGGCCUGAGAGGGUGACCGGCCACACUGGAACUGAGACACGGUCCAGACUCCUACGGGAGGCAG